UAUCUCACGAGAGAAACUUCGUUUCUUUUUUUGACAUCGAGCUAAACUUCUUUCAGUAUUAUACGUAAUUCAUUUGUCAUACUCUCUGAUUUGAAAGCGGAUCUUUGUUCUUCCACCUUGGAUGUCCGACUUUUCAGGCUUAUGGGUUUCAUGGCCGAGAGUUUCAGUCCUUAACAAAAGAAGCUUUCAUCAUCAUCCUAGAUUCUUAUUAAUGUCAAUCAGUAAGUAAACUUUUCCUUUUUCGUUCUUCCCGUCCACAUGGAAUUUACAUUCGCUCAAUUUUUUAAAUUUUGCAUCUGCGUUUGACGAUUGAAAAUCGGAAUCCGAGUUCAAUUUAUGGAUCUGAAAUCAAGCGCUGGCGAUUGAAAAAUGUUUAACAUAAAUUCACAAGUGAAGGCUUGGUGACAUUUACGUCCGCAGUUGUGCCUGAUGCUGACAAGUCAAAAACUGGAAAAAAGCAGUCUAAUUCUCCUUUUACGAAGCUUCUUUCCGGUAUCCACAUGUGUGUCACUGGUUUCACAUGUUGUUUGCAAUCGCAAAGGGUGUGGCUUGGUGUCCUUUAAAUUGAGCUUCUAUGGAGCGAAACAUUGAAUCCGUGAAGAUUAUUUUAUGUAUAGAAGAUAAUGAUCCCACGUUCUUUAUAGACAUGUAUCAAAUACGCAAUUCUUCAUCAUAACAAUAAGCCGAGAAAGAAAACUUGGGAAGGAUCCAAAGAAAACAUGUUACGUAAGAAUCAGCGGUCUUGAAGAUAUACAUAGAUGAACAUCCCAUUUUUAUGAAUGUUGAUAUACUCUCUUAUGUGUACAUAAGCUCUAACAGAUGACUUCUCCGAAACAUUUUUUAAAAAGGCUGGUGUAUGUAGUAGAAACCCUCCCAAAAGCAAAACAAGUGGUUGAGUUCACGGAUAAAAUUCAGCAACAAGCUUCAUCAAAUUUGGCAGACCUGGAAAAUGCCGGUCCAAACUCUCGGCUACGAUGCCAGAUAAAUAAUUUAAUGUAGGAAACUUCAACAGAAAAAUAAGGGCAAUGUGCAAGAGAUAAAAGAAGGGUAAAGUCUCAUAAAAAAGAUCGAACGGGUUAGUAAAGAAUACGCGUGUAUAUUAUAAUAAGCAAAAGGGGCUGUUAACUAUAACCUACGUGCCAAGAACACUGAAUGAAAUUGCUGAUUCUUUAUCUAAAAAUGUUCAAUCUUUUCAUAGAUCUUUUUGUUUUAUUGGGUGUUUUAUUCCGGUAUGGUUACCCAGACCACCUCAUGUUUGAGUAAUAGAAUAAACGUUUGUUGACAAAAAAAAAACUAUAAUUCGUUUGGGUUUAUAAAUAAACAAAAAAGU